AAUAAAUUUUUUAUGAUUUAUAAAGUUUAAUUUGAAUUUAUUUUACAUAUAAAUUUUAGUAUAUAUUUUUAAUUUAUUUUAAAAAUUUUUAAAAAUUAAUUUAAUAGUAAUUAAUAUUAAAAAUUUAAGAAAUUAAGAUUUAGUAAUAUUUAAUAAUUAUUAACAAAUUUUGUGCCAGCAGUUGCGGUUAAACAAAAAAUAAUUUAAAUUUUAUUAGUAAAUAAUAAAUAUUAAUAUUUUAAAAAUAAAUAUUAAAUUAUUAGGUGAAAUUUUAAUUUAUUUAAAAUUUUAAUUAAUAAUUAUGAUUUAUAAAAUUUUAUUAAAAACUAGAAUUAGAUACUCUAUUAUUAAAAUAUAAAUAAAAAUACUAAAAUAGUAUAUAAUUAUUUAUUGAAACUUAAAUAAUUUGGCGGUAUUUUAGUUCAUUUAGAGGAAUCUGUUUAAUAAUUGAUAAUCCACGAAUAAAUUUACUUAAUUAAUAUAUUUUGUAUAUCGUUGUUAAAAAAAUAUUUUUUAAUAAAAAUAAUAUUUUAAAAUUUUAAAAAUAAAUUAAUUCAGAUCAAGAUGCAGAUUAUAAUUAAGAAUAUAAUGGAUUACAAUAAGAAAUGAUUAUAUGAAUAAUAUUUUUUAAAAUUUAUUUGAAGGUGGAUUUAAAUGUAAUUUUAUUUAAUUUAUUAAAAUGAUUAAAAAUUGAAAUAUGUACAUAUUGCCCGUCGCUUUCAUUAAUAAAUUGAAAUAAGUCGUAACAUAGUAGAAGUACUGGAAAGUGUUUCUAGAAAGAU
rnacentral:ncRNA from 1 species